rnacentral:rRNA from 1 species
AUGGAGUACUAUCAUAUUGCCAAGAAGAUGUUUAAUAGUGAGGAUGAAGGUUAUACAUUCUAUAACAAAUAUGGUCUUGAGAAAGGUUUUAGUGUCCGGAGAAGCUAUGUCGAGUGGGAUGGAUCCAACUGCCAUAUAAUUUUAAGGAAAUUUGUGUGUAUUCGUGAAGGGGUUCAUGAAGAGAAGCACAUGAAGUGGAAGAUGGAAGAUAGAAAGAGGAGGCACGGAGUAUAA